rnacentral:rRNA from 1 species
CGUGGGGAACCUGCCCCAUAGUCUGGGAUACCACUUGGAAACAGGUGCUAAUACCGGAUAAGAAAGCAGAUCGCAUGAUCAGCUUUUAAAAAGGCGGCGUAAGCUGUCGCUAUGGGAUGGCCCCGCGGUGCAUUAGCUAGUUGGUAAGGUAAAGGCUUACCAAGGCGAUGAUGCAUAGCCGAGUUGAGAGACUGAUCGGCCACAUUGGGACUGAGACACGGCCCAAACUCCUACGGGAGGCAGCAGAU